rnacentral:rRNA from 1 species
CAGUUCUGCCCACUGAACUAAGGUUUAAAGGGCUGCAGUAUACUAACUGUGCAAAGGUAGCACAAUCAAUUGUUCCUUAAUUAGGAGCCGGAAUGAAUGAGCCAAUGAAUUAAUAACUGUCUCAACUUAAUAAAUAAAACUUAAAAUUUAAGUUAAAAUGCUUAAAUUAAUUUAUUAGACGAGAAGACCCUAUAGAAUUUUACUACUAUUUUUGUUUGGAGAAUUAAUAUUUUUAUUAAAAAAUGAAUAUACUGUUUAAUUGGGAGGAUUAUUAAACUAAAAUAACUUUAACUUAUUCAAAACAAAAAUUAUUGAAUUAAUGAUUUUUAAAUAAUUAAAAGAUUAAAUUACCUUAGGGAUAACAGCGUAAUAUUUCUGGAAAGUUCAUAUUUAUAGAAGUGUUUGCGACCUCGAUGUUGAAUUAAGAUAAAAUUUAAUAGCAGAAAAUUAAAAUUUAAGUCUGUUCGACUUUU